ACAAGCGGUGGAGUAUGUGGUUUAAUUCGAUGCAACGCGAAGAACCUUACCUGGUCUUGACAUCCCGGAGACCCUUAGGAAACUAGGGGUGCUUCCAUCUGGAAGAAUCUGGAGACAGGUGCUGCAUGGCUGUCGUCAGCUCGUGUCGUGAGAUGUUGGGUUAAGUCCCGCAACGAGCGCAACCCUUGCCUUUAGUUGCCAGCAGUUCGGCUGGGCACUCUAAAGGGACUGCCGGUGUUAAACCGGAGGAAGGUGGGGAUGACGUCAAGUCCUCAUGGCCUUUAUGACCAGGGCUACACACGUACUACAAUGGCCGAUACAAAGGGCAGCGACACUGCGAGGUGAAGCCAAUCCCGUAAAAUCGGUCUCAGUCCGGAUUGGAGUCUGCAACUCGACUCCAUGAAGUCGGAAUCGCUAGUAAUCGUGAAUCAGAAUGUCACGGUGAAUACGUUCCCGGGCCUU
rnacentral:rRNA from 1 species